CCUACGGGUGGCAGCAGUGAGGAGUAUUGGUCAAUGGACGAGAGUCUGAACCAGCCAAGUAGCGUGAAGGAUGACUGCCCUAUGGGUUGUAAACUUCUUUUAUAUGGGAAUAAAAUGUUCCACGUGUGGGAUUUUGUAUGUACCAUAUGAAUAAGGAUCGGCUAACUCCGUGCCAGCAGCCGCGGUAAUACGGAGGAUCCGAGCGUUAUCCGGAUUUAUUGGGUUUAAAGGGAGCGUAGGGGGAUUGUUAAGUCAGUUGUGAAAGUUUGCGGCUCAACCGUAAAAUUGCAGUUGAAACUGGCAGUCUUGAGUACAGUAGAGGUGGGCGGAAUUCGUGGUGUAGCGGUGAAAUGCUUAGAUAUCACGAAGAACUCCGAUUGCGAAGGCAGUUCACUGGACUGCAACUGACACUGAGGCUCGAAAGUGUGGGUAUCAAACAGGAUUAGAUACCCCUGUAGUC
rnacentral:rRNA from 1 species